GAGUUUUGAUCCUGGCUCAGGAUGAACGCUAGCUACAGGCUUAACACAUGCAAGUCGAGGGGAAACGAUAUUGGAAGCUUGCUUCCGAUAGGCGUCGACCGGCGCACGGGUGAGUAACGCGUAUCCAACCUGCCCACCACUUGGGGAUAACCUUGCGAAAGUAAGACUAAUACCCCAAUGAUAUCUCUAGAAGACAUCUGAAAGAGAUUAAAGAUUUAUCGGUGAUGGAUGGGGAUGCGUCUGAUUAGCUUGUUGGCGGGGUAACGGCCCACCAAGGCGACGAUCAGUAGGGGUUCUGAGAGGAAGGUCCCCCACAUUGGAACUGAGACNCGGUCCAAACUCCUACGGGAGGCAGCA
rnacentral:rRNA from 1 species